UACGUAGGGUGCAAGCGUUAAUCGGAAUUACUGGGCGUAAAGCGUGCGCAGGCGGUUUUGUAAGUCUGACGUGAAAUUCCCGGGCUCAACCUGGGAAUUGCGUUGGAGACUGCAAGGCUAGAAUCUGGCAGAGGGGGGUAGAAUUCCACGUGUAGCAGUGAAAUGCGUAGAUAUGUGGAGGAACACCGAUGGCGAAGGCAGCCCCCUGGGUCUAGAUUGACGCUCAUGCACGAAAGCGUGGGGAGCAAACAGG
rnacentral:rRNA from 1 species